rnacentral:tRNA from 1 species
GCCGUCGUGGCGCAACAUGGCAGACGCGCUAAGCUCAGAACUUAGAUGAUGUGGGUUCGAAUCCCGCCGGCGGCA